rnacentral:misc_RNA from 1 species
AAGGAGCACCACGAGAAGGCAUCCCAACUGGUGGGGUGUCAGCCGAUGUGGAGUUCGGCGCUGUAGUGGCGUCGGGCUGGGUGCAUGGCAAGCAAGCCGCCAACACACUGUUGGGUCCUGAGACAACACCUGUGGUGUUGUUGCCUCGCUUGGUGGUGGGGUGUGGUGUUUGAGUUUUGGAUAGUGGUUGCGAGCAUCUAGCAAGCAAGAAGCUGGUUUUUUUGUUUUUCUUGUUUGCCGAGUGUUUUUUGGUGUUUGU